GUAAGGAACAAGUGGCGCGCUCCAGCGACUAUCUCGAUGGCCAAUUGAGCUUUCGCGAAAAGCUGAUGGUGCGUCAUCACCUGAUGUUUUGCCCGAACUGCCGGCGUUUCAUUCGCCAGAUGCGUUUGAUGCAAGCCACCUUGAAGGCGAUGCCGGAGAAACCGGAGGACGGGGUGGAUGCGCUGGCUGAGCGUCUGGCUACGCAGAGGCGGGACGAUAGCCCGUAAAAA
rnacentral:sRNA from 1 species